rnacentral:rRNA from 1 species
AGAGUUUGAUCAUGGCUCAGAUUGAACGCUGGCGGCAGGCUUAACACAUGCAAGUCGAGCGGAGAUGAGGUGCUUGCACCUUAUCUUAGCGGCGGACGGGUGAGUAAUGCUUAGGAAUCUGCCUAUUAGUGGGGGACAACAUUCCGAAAGGAAUGCUAAUACCGCAUACGUCCUACGGGAGGAAGCAGGGGAUCUUCGGACCUUGCGCUAAUAGAUGAGCCUAAGUCGGAUUAGCUAGUUGGUGGGGUAAAGGCCUACCAAGGCGACGAUCUGUAGCGGGUCUGAGAGGAUGAUCCGCCACACUGGGACUGAGACACGGCCCAGGCUCCUACGGGAGGCAGCAGUGGGGAAUAUUGGACAAUGGGGGGAACCCUGAUCCAGCCAUGCCGCGUGUGUGAAGAAGGCCUUAUGGUUGUAAAGCACUUUAAGCGAGGAGGAGGCUACUGAGACUAAUACUCUUGGAUAGUGGACGUUACUCGCAGAAUAAGCACCGGCUAACUCUGUGCAAGCAGCCGCGGUAAUACAGAGGGUGCGAGCGUUAAUCGGAUUUACUGGGCGUAAAGCGUGCGUAGGCGGCUUUUUAAGUCGGAUGUGAAAUCCCCGAGCUUAACUUGGGAAUUGCAUUCGAUACUGGGAAGCUAGAGUAUGGGAGAGGAUGGUAGAAUUCCAGGUGUAGCGGUGAAAUGCGUAGAGAUCUGGAGGAAUACCGAUGGCGAAGGCAGCCAUCUGGCCUAAUACUGACGCUGAGGUACGAAAGCAUGGGGAGCAAACAGGAUUAGAUACCCUGGUAGUCCAUGCCGUAAACGAUGUCUACUAGCCGUUGGGGCCUUUGAGGCUUUAGUGGCGCAGCUAACGCGAUAAGUAGACCGC